UACGUAGGGUGCAAGCGUUGUCCGGAAUUAUUGGGCGUAAAGAGCUCGUAGGCGGUCUGUCGCGUCUGCUGUGAAAACUCGGGGUUUAACCCCGGGCCUGCAGUGGGUACGGGCAGACUAGAGUGCGGUAGGGGAGACUGGAAUUCCUGGUGUAGCGGUGGAAUGCGCAGAUAUCAGGAGGAACACCGAUAGCGAAGGCAGCUCGCUGGGACGGUACUGACGCUGAGGCGCGAAAGCGUGGGGAGCGAACAGG
rnacentral:rRNA from 1 species